UACGGGGGGAGCAAGCGUUGUCCGGAUUCAUUGGGCGUAAAGGGCGUGUAGGCGGGAUUGUAAGUCGGUGGUGAAAAUUCGGGGCUCAACCCUGAACCUGCCAUCGAAACUGCAGUUCUUGAGUGCAGGAGAGGGAACUGGAAUUCCUGGUGUAGCGGUGGAAUGCAUAGAUAUCAGGAAGAACACCGGUUGCGAAGGCGAGUUCCUGGUCUGACACUGACGCUGAGGCGCGAAAGCGUGGGGAGCGAACAGGAUUAGAUACCCGCGUA
rnacentral:rRNA from 1 species